rfam:Methanospirillum hungatei JF-1, complete genome.
GGACGUGUGGCCUAGUCAGGAUAUGGCGUCAGCCUCCUAAGCUGAAUGCCGGGGGUUCAAAUCCCUCCACGUCCG